rnacentral:rRNA from 1 species
UACGGAGGAUGCGAGCGUUAUCCGGAUUUAUUGGGUUUAAAGGGUGCGUAGGCGGACUGUCAAGUCAGCGGUAAAAUUGAGAGGCUCAACCUCUUCCCGCCGUUGAAACUGGUGGUCUUGAGUGGAUGAGAAGUACGCGGAAUGCGUGGUGUAGCGGUGAAAUGCAUAGAUAUCACGCAGAACUCCGAUUGCGAAGGCAGCGUACCGGCAUCCAACUGACACUGAGGCUCGAAAGCGUGGGGAGCAAAUAGG